AUGUGGUUGAUGUAUGGCAUCCCCACCAUCCGCGAGUUUGUGAACCUGCCGGUGAUGAUAGCAAACGGGGUCGGGAUUCUAGUUGAGCUGUUCUAUAUUUACGUCUUCAUCCGACACGCCGUUGGCCGCCGGCGCAAACCGGUUUUCGUUCUGCUUGCUUCGAGCGUGGUGAUCUUCACUGUACUUGGGGUCUUCCUAGGGAUGACUGUGUACCGGCACAAGUGGCCGUGUACCUUUGUGGGAGACUUGGCAGCUAUUUCAGGCGUCGUCAUGUACCUCAUUCCUAUCAUUAACACGAUUAAAGGGAUCUGGAACCGCGACCUGACACGCUUGUCAUGGUGGCAGCCCUUUGCGGCCCUGGCUAAUGGGUCCAUAUGGACGGCUUAUUCACGUGUUGGCCGAGUGAGGAUGUUCAUUCUUGUGCCAAGCAUUGCAGCCAUCUGCUCGGCCGUUUUCCAGGAGAUCUCGUGGUUUAUCGUGUACUUCAGAGGGCCGCCGCCUGCGCCAGUGCCACCACCACCGCCAACGCCACCGCCAAGUUCUGACAUUGAGUUGCCGCCACAUGCGGCUGCCGGCACCAGGGUUCAGGGAGGAAACGGAGGCAGGGAGGAGCUAGGAGGAGGCGACAGGGUUCAGGGAGGAGAGGCAGGCACGGAGCAGCUAGGUGGAGGCGACGGUGGACAGGGAGGAGAGAAAGGCAAGGAGCAGCUCGAAGCACAAGUCAGUGCCGAGGGGCAACAACAGCUGUCCUCUGCCGUCGGCCCGCCUGCGCCUGAAGGCGCCAAGCUCCAGGACGUCGCCCUGCCUGCGCCUGAAGACGCCGCGCUCAAGGACGUCGGCGCGCCCAAGGACAUCGCCCCGCCUGCGCCUGAAGACGCCGCGCUCAAGGACGUCGCCCCGCCUGCGCCUCCCGUCGUUGCGCCGCCGCUCCAGCCUCAGGAGGAGGAUGACGAGAUUCCGGAGCAAGACUGA
rnacentral:rRNA from 1 species